UCUUUGAUGCGAGAAGUGAUUGUUUGACGAAUAGAAAUAAUAGGAAAUAAUAAAAAAUAUACCGUGAAAAGUUGGAGGAAUCGUGGCGAAGCUGAAGGGGAUAUUAAGAGGCCAGGUGAAACUCAGGAAAAUCAGCAGAAGAAGGCAUGAAGAAAACAUCAUAGUCAAGAAGUCAUGGCUGAUAAAAGAAAACUUCAAGGUGAAAUAGACAGAUGUUUGAAAAAAGUCACAGAAGGGGUAGAGCAGUUUGAGGACAUUUGGAAAAAGGUAG